rnacentral:rRNA from 1 species
AUCCGUAGGGGGCGAGCGUUGUCCGGAAUGAUUGGGCGUAAAGGGCGCGUAGGCGGCGCGGCAAGUAUGGAGUGACAGUCCUGCUUUCAAGGUGGGAAUUGCUUUGGAUACUGCCGCGCUUGAGUGCAGGAGAGGGUAUCGGAAUUCCCGGUGUCGCGGUGACAUGCGUAGAGUUCGGGAGGAACACCAGUGGCGAAUGCGGGUAACUGGACUGCAACUGACGCUGAGGCGCGAAAGUGUGGGGAGCAAACAGGAUUAGAUACCCUGGUAGUCCACACUGUAAACGAUGAAUGCUAGGUGUAAGAGGUAUCGACCCCUUUUGUGCCGGAGUCAACACAAUAAGCAUUCCGCCUGGGGAGUACGGCCUCAAGGUUGAAACUCAAAUGAAUGGACGGGG